rnacentral:sRNA from 2 species
CAUUAUCGAGGGGGCUUGCCCCCGUCAAGAUACCACCCCUUGCCUUUUGAGUACCGUCUGUUUCCUCGGCAGGCUCGCCUGCCAAUGAGGACCACAUCCAAACCUUUUUGUAUCUGUAGUAAACGUCUGAUAAAACAAAAAAUCAAAACUUUCAACAACGGAUCUCUUGGUUCUGGCAUCGAUGAAGAACGCAGCGAAAUGCGAUAAGUAGUGUGAAUUGCAGAAUUCAGUGAAUCAUCGAAUCUUUGAACGCACAUUGCGCCCUUUGGUAUUCCUUAGGGCAUGCCUGUUCGAGCGUCAUCUAACCCUUCAAGCAUUGCUUGGUGUUGGGCGUUUGUCCCGCCUCUGGCGUGGACUCGCCUCAAAGACAUUGGCGGCCUGUGUAUUGGCUUCGAGCGCAGCAGACUCGCGCGUCGUCCCCUCUAGCACCAGGUGUCCAGUAAGCCUAUGACCCCAAAGUUUGACCUCGGAUCAGGUAGGGAUACCCGCUGAACUUAAGCAUAUCAAUAAGCGGAGGAAAAGAAACCAACAGGGAUUGCCCUAGUAACGGCGAGUGAAGCGGCAAGAGCUCAAAUUUGAAAUCUGGCUCCUUUGGGGUCCGAGUUGUAAUUUGUAGAGGGUGCUUUGGUGUCGGCUAUGGCCUAAGUUCCUUGGAACAGGACGUCACAGAGGGUGAGAACCCCGUAUGUGGCUGCUAGCCUUCACCGUGUAAAGCCCCUUCGACGAGUCGAGUUGUUUGGGAAUGCAGCUCUAAAUGGGAGGUAAAUUUCUUCUAAAGCUAAAUAUUGGCCAGAGACCGAUAGCGCACAAGUAGAGUGAUCGAAAGAUGAAAAGCACUUUGGAAAGAGAGUCAAAAAGCACGUGAAAUUGUUGAAAGGGAAGCGCUUGCAGCCAGACUUGCCCGUAGUCGCUCAUCCGAGCUCUUGCUCGGUGCACUCUUCUGCGGGCAGGCCAGCAUCAGUCCGGGCGGUCGGAUAAAGGCUCU